rnacentral:rRNA from 1 species
GACGAACGCUGGCGGCGUGCUUAACACAUGCAAGUCGAACGGAAAGGCCUCUUUCGGGGGGUACUCGAGUGGCGAACGGGUGAGUAACACGUGAGUAACCUGCCCUUGACUUUGGGAUAACUUCAGGAAACUGGGGCUAAUACCGGAUAGGAGCUCCUGCUGCAUGGUGGGGGUUGGAAAGAUUCGGCGGUUGGGGGUGGACUCGCGGCGUAUCCGCUUGGUGGUGGGGUAGUGGCUUACCAAGGCUUUGACGGGUAGCCGGCCUGGGAGGGUGACCGGCGACAUUGGGACUGAGAGACGGCCCAGACUCCUACGGGAGGCAGCAGUGGGGAAUAUUGCACAAUGGGUGGAAGCCUGAUGCAGCAACGCCGUGUGCGGGAUGACGGCCUUCGGGUUGUAAACCGCUUUCGCUCAUGACGAAGCUUUGUGUGACGGUAGUGGGUAAAGAAGCACCGGCUAACUACGUG